rnacentral:rRNA from 1 species
AGCUCCAAUAGCGUAUAUUAAAGUUGUUGCGGUUAAAAAGCUCGUAGUUGGAUCUCAGUCCAAGUGUUGCGGUCCACCAAGCGGUGGUUACUGACUUCACUGGGCACUUUACCGAUUUUCGUCUCUUGUUGCCCUUCACCGGGUGACCUGAGCGAUCGGUUUGUUUACUUUGAAAAAAUUAGAGUGCUCAAAGCAGGCCAGUUGUGCCCGAAUAAUGUUGCAUGGAAUAAUGGAAUAGGACCUCGGUUCUAUUUUGUUGGUCUUCGGAACCUGAGGUAAUGAUUAAGAGGGACAGACGGGGGCAUUCGUAUUGCGACGCUAGAGGUGAAAUUCUUGGACCGUCGCAAGACGAACCAAAGCGAAAGCAUUUGCCAAGAAUGUUUUCA